rnacentral:rRNA from 1 species
GACGAACGCUGGCGGCGUGCCUAAUACAUGCAAGUAGAACGCUGAAGGAGGAGCUUGCUCUUCUGGAUGAGUUGCGAACGGGUGAGUAACGCGUAGGUAACCUGCCUGGUAGCGGGGGAUAACUAUUGGAAACGAUAGCUAAUACCGCAUAAGAGUAGAUGUUGCAUGACAUUUACUUAAAAGGUGCAAUUGCAUCACUACCAGAUGGACCUGCGUUGUAUUAGCUAGUUGGUGGGGUAACGGCUCACCAGGGCGACGAUACAUAGCCGACCUGAGAGGGUGAUCGGCCACACUGGGACUGAGACACGGCCCAGACUCCUACGGGAGGCAGCAGUAGGGAAUCUUCGGCAAUGGACGGAAGUCUGACUGAGCAACGCCGCGUGAGUGAAGAAGGUUUUCGGAUCGUAAAGCUCUGUUGUAAGAGAAGAACGAGUGUGAGAGUGGAAAGUUCACACUGUGACGGUAUCUUACCAGAAAGGGACGGCUAACUACGUGCCAGCAGCCGCGGUAAUACGUAGGUCCCGAGCGUUGUCCGGAUUUAUUGGGCGUAAAGCGAGCGCAGGCGGUUAGGUAAGUCUGAAGUUAAAGGCUGUGGCUUAACCAUAGUACGCUUUGGAAACUGUUUAACUUGAGUGCAAGAGGGGAGAGUGGAAUUCCAUGUGUAGCGGUGAAAUGCGUAGAUAUAUGGAGGAACACCGGUGGCGAAAGCGGCUCUCUGGCUUGUAACUGACGCUGAGGCU